rnacentral:rRNA from 1 species
AUUGAACGCUGGCGGCAUGCCUUACACAUGCAAGUCGAACGGCAGCAUAGGAGCUUGCUCCUGAUGGCGAGUGGCGAACGGGUGAGUAAUAUAUCGGAACGUGCCCUAGAGUGGGGGAUAACUAGUCGAAAGACUAGCUAAUACCGCAUACGAUCUACGGAUGAAAGUGGGGGAUGGCAAGACCCCAUUCUCCUGGAGCGGCCGAUAUCUGAUUAGCUAGUUGGUGGGGUAAAAGCUCACCAAGGCGACGAUCAGUAGCUGGUCUGAGAGGACGACCAGCCACACUGGGACUGAGACACGGCCCAGACUCCUACGGGAGGCAGCAGUGGGGAAUUUUGGACAAUGGGGGCAACCCUGAUCCAGCAAUGCCGCGUGAGUGAAGAAGGCCUUCGGGUUGUAAAGCUCUUUUGUCAGGGAAGAAACGGUUCUGGAUAAUACCUGGGACUAAUGACGGUACCUGAAGAAUAAGCACCGGCUAACUACGUGCCAGCAGCCGCAGUAA